rnacentral:rRNA from 1 species
AUUAAACGCUGGCGGCAUGCUUUACACAUGCAAGUCGAACGGUAACAGGCCUUCGGGUGCUGACGAGUGGCGAACGGGUGCGUAAUGCAUCGGAACGUACCCAGAGGUGGGGGAUAACGCAGCGAAAGCUGUGCUAAUACCGCAUGUGAUCUGAGGAUGAAAGCGGGGGACCGAGCAGCAAUGUUUGGCCUCGCGCCUUUGGAGCGGCCGAUGUCGGAUUAGCUAGUUGGUGGGGUAAAGGCCUACCAAGGCGACGAUCCGUAGCUGGUCUGAGAGGACGACCAGCCACACUGGGACUGAGACACGGCCCAGACUCCUACGGGAGGCAGCAAUGGGGAAUUUUGGACAAUGGGCGCAAGCCUGAUCCAGCAAUGCCGCGUGCGGGAAGAAGGCCUUCGGGUUGUAAACCGCUUUUGGCAGGAACGAAACGGUGUCCGCUAAUACCGGGCGCUAAUGACGGUACCGGCAGAAUAAGCACCGGCUAACUACGU